rnacentral:lncRNA from 1 species
GUGAGUGCAUAAAGAAAAGGCCACGUGAGGACACAGCAAGAAAGUGGCCAUCUGCAAGCGCAAAAGACAGGCCUCGGAAGAACCCAACCCUAUUGACACUAUGAUCUUGGACAUCCAGCCUCCAGAACUCCGUUAACAAACCAUCUGUAUGCCUAAUAUUGAUGCUGUCUUCCCCUAGUGUACUGGACAAUCUAAGACAGGGAAAUAAAGAUAAGAUUUGGAUUGAAGAGUGAGGAGCCAAAAUAAUGCAGCUUCACUUCUCCUUAAUGGACAGAAGACUACACUGUUUUUGCUGCACCCAGAGAUAAAGUUAUUGGUUUUGGAGUACCUUCACUGAUGCCAGGGGUGUCAUCUUUAACUUCCAUCACAUAAUAUAUAUAUUAAGAGAAUUUUUCUUAGCUUUAAAUGAGUUGGUAAGAGGAACAAGAAGAAAGCCAAGGACUCCAUUUCCAGGAUUAAAAGCGUUUUUUUUCUUUCUCUUCCAAAUCCUAGCAGUAGAAGCAUUUGAGUUCUGCAGAAAUUACUGAAGUGGUUCAAGUGUGGGCAGUCAGGACACUCAGCGCCCCAUACUCAACCCCAACUCAACCCCAACUCAACCUCAACUCUCAGUAUGGCAGAGAGGUGGAGAACUCAGAGCUAUAACUUUCAGGAAUUCUCAAAACCUCAGACCAAAUGCAUCUUUGUUUUACCACCUGUUAAAGUAUAUCCUCAUCUGCCUCAGUGCACAUAAGUAUA